rnacentral:rRNA from 1 species
GACGAACGCUGGCGGCGUGCUUAACACAUGCAAGUCGAACGGACAGGCCCUGCUUUUGUGGGGUGCUCGAGUGGCGAACGGGUGAGUAACACGUGAGUAACCUGCCCCUGACUUUGGGAUAAAUCCAGGAAACUGGGGCUAAUACCGGAUAUGAGCUCCUGCUGCAUGGUGGGGGUAGGAAAGUGUCGGCGGUUGGGGAUGGUAUCGCGGCUUAUCAGCUGGUUGGUGGGGUAGUGGCGUACCAAGGCUUUGACGGAUAGCCGGCCUGAGAGCGUUGACGGGCACAAUGGGACUGAGAGACGGACCAGACUCCUACGGUAGGCAGCAGUCGGAAAUAUGGCGCAAUGAGCGGAAGCCAGAGACAGAGACGCCCCGAGCGUGAUGACGUCCUUCGAGUGAUAAACAGAUGUCGCCGGUGACGAAGCCUUCGUGACGGUAAUGGGUAAAAAAGCCACGGCUAACUACGUG